GACGGACGCUGGCGGCGUGCUUAACACAUGCAAGUCGAACGGAAAGGCCCUGCUUUUGUGGGGUGCUCGAGUGGCGAACGGGUGAGUAACACGUGAGUAACCUGCCCUUGACUUUGGGAUAACUUCAGGAAACUGGGGCUAAUACCGGAUAGGAGCUCCUGCUGCAUGGUGGGGGUUGGAAAGUUUCGGCGGUUGGGGAUGGACUCGCGGCUUAUCAGCUUGUUGGUGGGGUAGUGGCUUACCAAGGCUUUGACGGGUAGCCGGCCCGAGAGGGUGACCGGCCACAUUGGGACUGAGAUACGGCCCAGACUCCUACGGGAGGCAGCAGUGGGGAAUAUUGCACAAUGGGCGGAAGCCUGAUGCAGCAACGCCGCGUGCGGGAUGACGGCCUUCGGGUUGUAAACCGCUUUCGCCUGUGACGAAGCGUGAGUGACGGUAAUGGGUAAAGAAGCACCGGCUAACUACGUG
rnacentral:rRNA from 1 species